UUUAAGUCAUCAGAAAUAAUCACCCCUAAAUCCCUUUCCUCAGAUGUUGAGGUUAGGACUCUAUCAAAUAUUCUGUACUCUGCCCUUGGGUUUUUACGUCCAAGAUGCAUUAUCUUGCACUUAUCCACAUUAAAUGUCAGUUGCCACAAUUCAGACCAUUUUUCUAGUUUACCUAAAUCAUUUGCCAUUUGGCUUAUCCCUCCUGGAACAUCAACC